rnacentral:rRNA from 1 species
GGAGUUAGCCGGUGCUUCUUCUGUGAGUGAUGUCCUUCCUGCCGGUUAUUGAUCCGCAGGCCUUCUUCCUCACUGAAAGUGCUUUACAACCCGAAGGCCUUCUUCACACACGCGGCAUGGCUGGAUCAGGGUUGCCCCCAUUGUCCAAUAUUCCCCACUGCUGCCUCCCGUAGGAGUCUGGGCCGUGUCUCAGUCCCAGUGUGGCUGAUCAUCCUCUCAGACCAGCUACGGAUCGUCGCCUUGGUGAGCCGUUACCUCACCAACCAGCUAAUCCGACAUAGGCUCAUCCGAUAGCGCGAGGCCCGAAGGUCCCCCGCUUUCCCCCGUAGGGCGUAUGCGGUAUUAGCCUGGGUUUCCCCAGGUUAUCCCCCACUACCGGGCAGAUUCCUAUGCAUUACUCACCCGUCCGCCGCUCGCCACCAGGGAGCAAGCUCCCCGUGCUGCCGCUCGACUUGCAUGUGUUAGGCCUGCCGCCAGCGUUCAAUCUGAGCCAGGAUCAAACUCUGA